UAAGAUAAAUUUACUUAUUUUUUUUUUUUAUUGUUUUAUUAAAUAAAAUAAUUUAUUAAUAUUUAGGUUUUAGUAUAUUUUAUAGAAAAAAUUUUUUUAGUUGUAGUUUAAUAGUAUUGUAUAAGAAUAUUGAAAUAUUUGAAAAUUUAUUAAUAUAAAAGUAAAUUUAAUAUAUUGUACCUUGUGUAUCAGGGUUUAUUAAAUAAAAAUUAAAAUUUUAAUUUUCCCGAUUUUAAGAGAGUUAAUAUUUUAUAAUAGUUAAUGUGUCAAAAUUAUUAUUAAUAAAAUAUUAGAAAUGAAACGUUAAUCGUUCUUAAAUAUAUCUGGUUCUUUAAGAAAUAAAUUUAAUUUAGAGGCUUGUAAGUAAUUUAUUAAUUUUAUUUAAUAAAUUAAAUUAUAAGAUUUAAUAUUUUAAGGGAUAAGCUUUAAAAUAAAUAUUAUAAUAAUUAUUAUUUUAUAAAAGUUAUAGGCUUAAAAAUAGCCAUUAAUUAAAAAAUGUUAUAGUUUAUUUUAUAUUAUAAAAUAUUUUUUUUUGUUUAAUUAUAUAUUAAAGGGAUUUUUUUAAUAUCAUUAAAAAUGUCAUAAUGAUAAAAUUAGUAUAUAAUAAAUGUUAUUUAUAAGUAAAAGAAAGGUUUUAAUAAGGAAUUCGGCAAAUAAAUACUCGCUUGUUUAACAAAAACAUGUCUUUUAGAAAAUAAUUUAAAGUCUAAUCUGCCCACUGAUUUAUUAAAGGGCUGCGGUAUUUUGACCGUACAAAGGUAGCAUAAUCAUUAGUUUCUUAAUUAGAGGCUGGAAUGAAUGAUUGGACGAGGUAUUAACUGUCUCAUUAAAAAUGUUAUAGAAUUUAACUUUUUAGUUAAAAGGCUUAAAUAAAAUUAAAGGACGAGAAGACCCCAUAGAGCUUUAUAUUUUAAUUUUAAAUUUAUAUUAGAUUUAUAUUAAUUUUAUUAUAAAAAAUAUUUUGUUGGGGUGACAGGAAGAUUUAUUAAACUCUUUUUAUAUAAAAACAUUGAUUUAUGAGUUAUUGAUCCAUUAUUAGUGAUUAUAAGAUUAAGUUACCUUGGGGAUAACAGCGUUAUUUUUUUUGAGAGUUCAUAUCGACAAAAAAGAUUGCGACCUCGAUGUUGGAUUAAGGGUUAUUUUUGGGUGUAGAAGUUCAAAGUUUAGGUCUGUUCGACCUUUGAAUCCUUACAUGAUCUGAGUUCAGACCGGCGUAAGCCAGGUCGGUUUCUAUCCUUAAUUAAUUAUUAUAUUUUAGUACGAAAGGACCAAGUAUAAAGAAAAGAUUUUCUUAUUUUAUGAAUUUUAUUAAU
rnacentral:rRNA from 1 species